rnacentral:rRNA from 1 species
GUGGGGAAUAUUGGGCAAUGGGGGCAACCCUGACCCAGCGACGCCGCGUGAGGGAAGACGGCCUUCGGGUUGUAAACCUCUUUUGUACGGGAAGAAGGACGUGACGGUACCGUGCGAAUAAGUCCCGGCUAACUACGUGCCAGCAGCCGCGGUAAUACGUAGGGGACGAGCGUUGUCCGGAAUUACUGGGCGUAAAGGGCGCGCAGGCUGUAGAUCAAGUCAGCUGUGAAAUGUCUGGGCUUAACCCGGGCAUGCGGUUGAAACUGAUGUACUGGAGUGCUGUAGAGGCAAGUGGAAUUCCCAGUGUAGCGGUGAAAUGCGUAGAUAUUGGGAAGAACACCGGUGGCGAAGGCGACUUGCUGGGCAGCAACUGACGCUGAGGCGCGAAAGCCAGGGGAGCAAACGGGAUUAGAAACCCCGGUAGUCC